rnacentral:lncRNA from 1 species
CCAUUUCAUAUAUCCAUUCCAAUCAUAAAAGAAUACCGGCAAGGGAUCAAUAAUAUUACAACAACAUCCCGGUAAGGGAACAAUAAUAUAAUAACAACAUCCCGGCAAUAGAACAAUAGUAUUACAACAACAUCCCGACAAGGGAACAAUAAUAUCACAACAACAUCCCUUUAAGGGAACAAUAAUGACCAUCCUCAUAUGAGGCAUGAAUAAACCAAAUGGAGUCACAACAAUUACAAUACAAGACUCACGGACAUGGUUGACACUGACGUAUAGAUACUCGUCACCAUGUCUAUACAUCGUAUUCCACAAUUAACACAUAGCAAAUAAGACACAACUCUUAAUCCUUCAAUCUAAGGUUAGACCAAGCAUUUACCUCAAACUUCAAUGGCCAACUCAAACCUCAUACACCACUUUUUCUUUAGAAUUCACCUCGAAAUUACUUGUAUCUAGUCCUAACUGAUUUAACAACAUCAAUAAAUUCUAAAGAAUUCAUACUCAAUGCUUUUUUUAAACCCCUCCCAAAUUAGGAGGAACUAUAGUGUUUCCAUA